rnacentral:misc_RNA from 1 species
GUUAUGAUUGUUGCAUCUUUCUCCAUAAUGAGCUUUUGGCUUGGAUGGGUUGUUGGUUCAUGGCCAUUGUUUUGGGCUCUUUUUGUCAGUUUUGUUCUUGGAACAGCAUAUUCAAUCAAUUUGCCAUUAUUGAGAUGGAAAAGGUUUGCAUUUGUUGCAGCAAUGUGCAUCUUAGUUGUCCGGGCAGUGAUCGUUCAACUUGCCUUUUAUCUGCACAUGCAGACCCACGUGUACAGAAGACCUACUGUCUUUUCCAGGCCUCUGAUUUUUGCAACUGCAUUCAUGUGCUUAUUCUCUGUUGUUAUAGCAUUAUUCAAGGAUAUACCUGAUAUUGAAGGGGAUAAGAUAUUUGGUAUCCGAUCCUUUACAGUGCGCUUGGGCCAAGAACGGGUUUUCUGGACCUGUAUUUCUCUGCUUGAAAUAGCUUAUGGUGUUGCUAUUUUAGUUGGAGCAGCUUCUUCCCACACCUGGAGCAAGUGUAUCACGGUUCUGGGGCAUGCCAUAUUGGCUUUAAUACUGUGGGACCGUGCUAAAGCUGUUGAUCUCAAGAGCAAAGCUGCUAUAACUUCAUGUUACAUGUUUAUUUGGAAGCUGUUUUAUGCAGAAUACUUGCUCAUACCACUCGUAAGAUGAGCAUGCAAAGCAUUGUGGAGAGAAGGAAACUGCAGCCGUCUCUAAAAAUGGAGUAUUCUACUGAAACAUUAAUGCCUAGAAAGAGGAUACUAUGGUUUGCUUGCAAGUUCUGUAUGCCUAUCAUUUAUCUCGAACAAUUGUAAUGCUGGGG